AUUGAACGCUGGCGGCAUGCUUUACACAUGCAAGUCGAACGGUAACAGGGAGCUUGCUCCGCUGACGAGUGGCGAACGGGUGAGUAAUGCGUCGGAACGUGCCGAGUAGUGGGGGAUAACGCAUCGAAAGGUGUGCUAAUACCGCAUACGUACUGAGGUAGAAAGUGGGGGACCUUCGGGCCUCACGCUAUUCGAGCGGCCGACGUCUGAUUAGCUAGUUGGUGAGGUAAAGGCUCACCAAGGCGACGAUAAGUAGCGGGUCUGAGAGGAUGAUCAGCCACACUGGGCCUGAGACACGGCCCAGACUCCUACGGGAGGCAGCAGUGGGGAAUUUUGGACAAUGGGCGCAAGCCUGAUCCAGCCAUGCCGCGUGUCUGAAGAAGGCCUUCGGGUUGUAAAGGACUUUUGUCCGGGAGCAAAUGCUGGUGGCUAACAUCCACCGGAGCUGAGAGUACCGGAAGAAUAAGCACCGGCUAACUACGUGCCAGCCGCCGCAGUAAGAC
rnacentral:rRNA from 1 species